rnacentral:rRNA from 1 species
UUGGAGGGCAAGUCUGGUGCCAGCAGCCGCGGUAAUUCCAGCUCCAAUAGCGUAUAUUAAGGUUGUUGCAGUUAAAAAGCUCGUAGUUGAAUUUCGGGAUUGACGUGAUGGUCAUGCCUUAAGGGGUAUGAACUGUUACAGUUGAUUUCUCACCUUCUGGAGAAACUUAAUGUCCUUUAUUGGGUGUCUUGCGGAUCCAGGACCUUUACCUUGAAAAAAUUAGAGUGUUUAAAGCAGGCAUUUUUGCUCGAAUACAUUAGCAUGGAAUAAUAGAAUAGGACGGCAUGGUUCUAUUUUGUUGGUUUCUAGGAUCACCGUAAUGAUUAAUAGGGAUAGUUGGGGGCAUUAGUAUUCAAUUGUCAGAGGUGAAAUUCUUGGAUUUAUUGAAGACUAACUACUGCGAAAGCAUUUGCCAAGGAUGUUUUCAUUAAUCAAGAACGAAAGUUAGGGGAUCGAAGACGAUCAGAUACCGUCGUAGUCUUAACCAUAAACUAUGCCGACUAGGAAUCAGACGAUGUUAAUUUUUUAAUGACUCGUUUGGCACCUUACGGGAAACCAAAGUGUUUGGGUUC